rnacentral:lncRNA from 1 species
GUGAGGAUCGCGAUCAGAAGGCAAGAACAAGGGGGAAACCCUAACUCAUCAAUUAACAUCGAAAUUCAGCAAGAUUGUGGAGGAUUCUUGUCAUAAAUCGAAUGCUUGUGCUUAAUUAUUCCCUAAUCCAAGUGAUUGAAAGAAGAAGGAGCUAGUUCCGGUUCACAAACAAAGGCUCAAGAUCGAGGUAAAACUCAAGCAUAAAUGUCAUUGCCUCACUCGGAUACGAACACACCUUGAUCAUCCUUGAUGCGCUUCCGCAACUUUUGUAGAAUCUUUAAUGGUUAAAAGCUUUUGUUAAAGUUAGUUUGUGUUUGAAGUUUUCGAACUUUAACUCGUUGGUUGUAAAUAUUUUAAGCACCUUAAACUUGACGUUUUGAACGGUGGUUUAAAAUGUUAUGGUCUUUCUUAUGUCUUACGGAAAGUGUCGUUAUUUAAGUAUUUUGAUAAAUCGUAAACAGGGAAAUUAUUCAAAACACGAAAGGGUCAUGUCCAAAUUUUAAAUUUUGGUGAUAAAGUUAUGUGUCAUGUUGUAAUUCUUCGAGUAUGAACAUGUGGACGUUUCAAUUUUAUAAGAAUUGGAUAUUGAUUAAAAAGGUUAAAUUCGUCUUAGGUGGUGUUAGAGCAUUCACAUCUCAUUCCACCAAAAUAUGUGAGUGAAGUUUCUAUAAUAUAAAGAGUAAAAAAGUGGUUGUGAGUGGAGGAGAGAGAAAAUAUUACUGUUCAUCUGUAUAUUUGAGGGGACACUGUUCACCCCUAUAAUUUUUUAAUAUAUUUUGAAAGUGGUUGUGAGUAGAGGUGAGAGAAAAGGUAAUAAUAAAGGUAUAAAUAAAUAUUUU